rnacentral:rRNA from 1 species
UGACGGUACUUGCAGAAAAAGGACCGGCUAACUACGUGCCAGCAGCCGCGGUAAUACGUAGGGUCCGAGCGUUGUCCGGAAUUAUUGGGCGUAAAGAGCUCGUAGGCGGUUUGUCGCGUCUGCUGUGAAAUCCCGAGGCUCAACCUCGGGUCUGCAGUGGGUACGGGCAGACUGGAGUGCGGUAGGGGAGAAUGGAAUUCCUGGUGUAGCGGUGGAAUGCGCAGAUAUCAGGAGGAACGCCGAUGGCGAAGGCAGUUCUCUGGGCCGUAACUGACGCUGAGGAGCGAAAGCGUGGGGAGCGAACAGGAUUAGAUACCCUGGUAGUCCACGCCGUAAACGUUGGGCGCUAGAUGUGGGGACCUUUCCACGGUUUCCGUGUCGUAGCUAACGCAUUAAGCGCCCCGCCUGGGGAGUACGGCCGCAAGGCUAAAACUCAAAGGAAUUGACGG